rnacentral:rRNA from 1 species
CCCUUAGAUGUUCUGGACCGCACGCGUGUUACACUGAUGCAUUCAACGAGCUUUACCUUGGCCGAGAGGCCUGGGAAAUCUUUUUAGCAUGCAUCGUGAUAGGGAUUGAUUAUUGCAAUUAUUAAUCAUGAACGAGGAAUUCCUAGUAAACGCAUUUCAUCAAAAUGCAUUGAUUACGUCCCUGCCCUUUGUACACACCGCCCGUCGCACCUACCGAUUGAGUGGUCCGGUGAAGUCUCGAGAUUGUGGCAAUCUCCUUUAUUGGAGUUUGACUGCGAGAACUUGCCUAAACCUUAUCACUUAGAGGAAGGUGAAGUCGUAACA